CAGAGAGGAGGGAGUUUUUUGAGCAAAGAUGCAAGAAGAAGUCUGACUGUAGGGAUAGCUCAAGCUGGGUAGCUCAGAAGGGAAAUUUUUUGUUAACCUAAAAUGCAGCAAAUGAUUGUUUAUACUGGUGGCUGUGAAAGAGACUGUGAGGGGUGGCUUUUUCGGAGGUCCCAUUAGUGCCCCAGGAGCACAUGAUUGUGGGGACAAGCUGAUGAUUGUGAAACUCAAGCUGAUCCAGGCCUACUCGCAAAAGUUAAUAUACAAAAUAUUUAUGACAACUGCAUAGUGCAAAAGAACAUGUUAAUCAAUUUCCUGAUAUGUUCCAAUUUGGGAGAAAUUGAUAAUCUCCUGUUACUGAGGAAGGUAAUUCAAUCAAAAUUGGGACUUUCUGAUCCAUCAAACUGUUCAAUUUUUUGGCUAACAGGAUUUUCCUGUUAAUUAUUGUUUGAGACUUUCUCUUGGUUUACACAACAACAAGAAUGCUUUGAAGAUGCUGAGCUAAAGGGCAUAAAAGAAGAAAGAAACAACUAACAAGGCACACUUCCAGACUGAUAAAUCACUCUGAGGAGAACUGCUACUGCACCCAGCUGAUCUAGGUGAAAGUAUCCAAACCUUGAGAAGCUGAAAAGACAGAGACCACCACUUUUUGCCUAUAAUUAGUAAGAUACUAUCACUUUUACAGCUGAACACUGGACUUUGCUUUGCUUUAUGCUCACUUAACAGUGGAUACUUGUAGCAAAUAAAGUCUUUCUGUCAUUCAUCAAACAAGUUGCCAUGUCAACCCUUUAACACUAGUCUUGAAUCCCAUUUCUUCACUUAACAAGGCUCAAGGGAUUCCAUCAAAGCAGAACCUGGACCAGGGCAGAGUGUGGGGCCAGAGAGCCUAUAACUGGACAGAGAUGAGGCACAAGGAAGGCCAAGGCCAUAUGCCCCAAAAUACAUAUUUAGCCCAGGAGACAAAGAGUGAGACCAGGCAUGGGAAACCCUGGGGCAGCCCCCUUUCUUCCAUGCCUUGAUGUCAUAGAGUUUAGAA